GACGAACGCUGGCGGCGUGCUUAACACAUGCAAGUCGAACGGGAAGGCCUGCUUUCCCUUGUGGAUUGCGGGUACUCGAGUGGCGAACGGGUGAGUAACACGUGAGUGAUCUGCCCCCAACUUGGGUAUAAGCCUGGGAAACUGGGUCUAAUUCCCGAUAGGACUGCAGGGUGGUGCCUGUGGUGGAAAACGAUUUUCUAGUGGUUGGGGAUGAGCUCGCGGCCUAUCAGCUUGUUGGUGGGGUAAUGGCCUACCAAGGCGGCGACGGGUAGCCGGCCUGAGAGGGUGGACGGCCACAUUGGGACUGAGAGACGGCCCAGACUCCUACGGGAGGCAGCAGUGGGGAAUAUUGCACAAUGGGCGGAAGCCUGAUGCAGCGACGCCGCGUGGGGGAUGACGGCCUUCGGGUUGUAAACUCCUUUCGACCGCGAGGAAGCCACCUGGUUGGAAGGGUGGUGACGGUAGUGGUAGAAGAAGCACCGGCUAACUACGUG
rnacentral:rRNA from 1 species